rnacentral:rRNA from 8 species
UUAAAUUGAAGAGUUUGAUCAUGGCUCAGAUUGAACGCUGGCGGCAGGCCUAACACAUGCAAGUCGAACGGUAACAGGAAGCAGCUUGCUGCUUUGCUGACGAGUGGCGGACGGGUGAGUAAUGUCUGGGAAACUGCCUGAUGGAGGGGGAUAA